AAUAUUGGACAAUGGGUGUAAGCCUGACCUAGUCAUCCCGCGUUAAGGAUGACGGUCCUAUGUAAAGUAAACAUCUUUUGUACAGGAAAAUACCUACCCUCGUGAGAGUAGCUGAAUUCACUGUACCACUAAUCUUCGUCUAUCCGCGUGCCCGCAGUCGCGGUAAUACGGCGGGUGCAAGCGUUACCCGGAUUUAUUGGGUUUAAAGGGUCCGUAGGCGGACCCGUAAGUCAGUGGUGAAAUCUCAUAGCUUAACUAUGAAACUGCCAUUGAUACUGCGGGUCUUGAGUAAAUUUGAAGUGGCUGGAAUAAGUAGUGUAGCGGUGAAAUGCAUAGAUAUUACUUAGAACACCAAUUGCGAAGGCAGGUCACUAAGAUUUAACUGACGCUGAUGGACGAAAGCGUGGGUAGCGAACA
rnacentral:rRNA from 1 species